CCCCUAGAUGUUCUGGGCCGCACGCGCGCUACACUGAACAGUUCAACAAGUCUUAACCUUGGCCGAUAGGUCUGGGUAAUCUUUGAACGCUGUUCGUGAUUGGGAUAGACCUUUGCAAUUAUGGGUCUUCAACGAGGAAUUCCUAGUAAACGCAAGUCAUCAGCUUGCAUUGAUUACGUCCCUGCCCUUUGUACACACCGCCCGUCGCACCUACCGAUUGAAUGGUCCGGUGAAUAAUUCGGACUGCAGCUUUGAACAGUCCCUGUUCUCGGCUUGCGGAAAGUUUAGUGAACCUUAUCACUUAGAGGAAGGAGAAGUCGUAACA
rnacentral:rRNA from 1 species